rnacentral:rRNA from 1 species
UACGUAGGGGGCUAGCGUUGUCCGGAAUCAUUGGGCGUAAAGCGCGCGUAGGCGGCCCGGUAAGUCCGCUCUGAAAGUCCAGGGCUCAACCCUGGAAUGCGGGUGGAUACUGCCGGGCUAGAAUCCGGAAGAGGCGAGUGGAAUUCCUGGUGUAGCGGUGGAAUGCGCAGAUAUCAGGAGGAACACCAAUAGCGAAGGCAGCUCGCUGGGACGGUAUUGACGCUAAGGCGCGAAAGCGUGGGGAGCAAACAGGAUUAGAUACCCUGGUAGUCCACGCCGUAAACGAUGGGCACUAGGUGUGGGAGGUGUCGACUCCUCCCGUGCCGACGCUAACGCAUUAAGUGCCCCGCCUGGGGAGUACGGCCGCAAGGCUAAA